GACAUGUCCGGAAUCCCGAAGAGAUUUGGGAGUGCUCGCAAGAGAACCGGAACACAGGUGCUGCAUGGCUGUCGUCAGCUCGUGUCGUGAGAUGUUGGGUUAAGUCCCGCAACGAGCGCAACCCUUGUCAUUAGUUGCCAUCAUUGGUUGGGCACUCUAAUGAGACUGCCGGUGACAAACCGGAGGAAGGUGGGGAUGACGUCAAGUCCUCAUGGCCCUUAUGGGUAGGGCUUCACACGUCAUACAAUGGUCGGUACAGAGGGUUGCCAACCCGCGAGGGGGAGCUAAUCCCACAAAGCCGAUCGUAGUCCGGAUCGCAGUCUGCAACUCGACUGCGUGAAGUCGGAAUCGCUAGUAAUCGUGGAUCAGCAUGUCACGGUGAAUACGUUCCCGGGUCUU
rnacentral:rRNA from 1 species